CUCUAAUAACAAACCUAUAAAAAAAAUACAGCGCGAAACUGUCACGAAAAUUAUCAUAACAUGUACCUACACUUCGGUUACACUUGGUAAGUGCAUAAUUAUGAAAGAGGCAGAAUUUGCCAGUCACCAAAAUGAAAGCCUACAUCGCUAUCUGUGCUGGAAUGUUACUCUUCUCUUAUAUGAAUUCACAAACGGUCGUAUACGUCGCGAGAUUACACAACUACACAAUCAUAUCGGAUAACGUGAUAACUUUAAAUUCCACCAUUUAUCGGUCAAACAUGGAGCAUAAAGUUGCCAUGAGAUUCAACGUCACAACAGAUAUGGAUGUUAAAAGUGGCCAGGUUACGAUCUACAGAUGCGAUUAUGGGAAAGGAGAUUGCGAAAAUUUUCAAAAAUGGAAUUUUCCCACAGUAGCAAGUUUGAAAGCUGUCUUUAACAUGAAAAAUCAGAUGUGGACACCGAUUAUGGAAAGCAUUAAACCGCCGAUGACGAGUUUCCCUCUAGUUCGGAAGAACGUUUAUGAAUGUGCGGAUUUGAGCCUGGAUGCUAAUGCGAUGAUGGUUUUUUACCCAGAGGCGAUAAAAUACUAUUAUCGAGUGGAACUACCGCUCUUCUACUCCAAUAAAACAAGGGCCUUUACGAUUUGGAUGGAAAUAAGCAUUCAUUCGUUUGUGAAACGAGACAGAGCUCAAAAUCGACGAAAUUCGACCCAAAAAGCAUUAAUCUAACAGCAUGCGAAUACUAGACACCUGCGCAAUGUGCGUAGCUUGUUUUGUUACUCUUAAUAAAUCAUUCCUGAAUAAUUUAUUCUAAAUCAUCACAAAAAAAUCGCUUGAAAUCGUCAUAAAGAAAACUCAUUUCUCACCCCAGGAAAAAAAUUUAUUAGAAUUCAACAUAAAAAAUCAAUUUAAAAUUACCAUGAAAAGU